rnacentral:tRNA from 1 species
UAGUGUAAUGGUUAGCACACUCGGCGCGUAUUCGAGAGGUCCAGGUUCGAGUCCUGG